rnacentral:ncRNA from 1 species
AUUAGAUUUUAAGUACAAAAGUUUGAAGUUUUUCUUUGAAUAUAAGUAGUUCGUAAUUUAAAAUACUAUUUUUGACAAUAAGAAAAUAUAUUUUUUUUUAUAAAUAAAGUAUUUAAAAAAAUUAUUAAUCUUUGAGAGUAGGAGGUAGUUAAUGAAUGAAGGUCCAGGUAAUGGCGUGCCAGCACCUGCGGUUAUACGAGUGGGCCAACUGAAAUAAUUUUAAUAAAUUAUUAUAGGAAGUCGGUGAAAUGUGGAUAUGAAAGUGGUAAAAAUUCAAAAUUUAAACCAGGAUUAGAUACCCUGUUAUUUUUGUUAUUUGUAAAAUAUUAGUAAAAUAAAUUUGUUGUUUUUGGCGGUUUUUUGUUUGUUUCAGAGGAAUUUGUCCCGUUAAUGAUAAUACCCGAUAAGGUAGCCUUAAUUAAAAAUUUGUAUAUCGCUGUUUUAAGAGAAUAUUAAAAAAUAAAUUUUUGUAAAGAAAGUGUUAAAUUCAAGUCAAGAUGCAGUUAAUAUUGAGGGGGAGAUGAAUUACAAUUAAAAAUUUAAAACGAAAUUAUUUAUUGAAAAAUAUAAUAAGGUGGAUUUGAUAGUAAAUUUAUAUUAGGAUGCUUUAUUGAAUAAUAAACUAAAAAAUGUACAUAUCGCCCGUCACUUCCAUUAGUGUUGGAAUAAGUCGUAACAAAGUAAAGAAGUUGGAAAAGUUCUUUAGAU